rnacentral:rRNA from 1 species
GAUGAACGCUGGCGGCGUGCCUAACACAUGCAAGUCGAACGGAGUAUUAUGAAGCCUUCGGGCGGGUUAAUACUUAGUGGCGGACGGGUGAGUAACGCGUGGGUAACCUGCCUCAUACAGGGGGAUAACAGCCGGAAACGGCUGCUAAAACCGCAUAACAUUGCGACACCGCAUGGUGAUGCAAUUAAAUAUUUAUAGGUAUGAGAUGGGCCCGCGUCUGAUUAGCUAGUUGGUAGGGUAACGGCCUACCAAGGCGACGAUCAGUAGCCGGCUUGAGAGAGUGACCGGCCACAUUGGGACUGAGACACGGCCCAAACUCCUACGGGAGGCAGCAGUGGGGGAUAUUGCACAAUGGGGGAAACCCUGAUGCAGCGACGCCGCGUGAGUGAAGAAGUAUUUCGGUAUGUAAAGCUCUAUCAGCAGGGAAGAAAAUGACGGUACCUGACUAAGAAGCCCCGGCUAACUACGUGCCAGCCGCCGCGGUAAAAC